rnacentral:lncRNA from 12 species
GUUGAAUCCUGAAUUCCAGCAUACUUGGGCUGAGCAAUUUGAGCUGGGAGAUUAACCAUGGCACCAUGAGCAGGAGUUUGGCCUUGAGAAAAUGAUCCUUCAGACAAUCAUCUACAACAUAUACAGGACUCUGUUGAUACUGCAAAAUAAAAAGACACACAGGCUGUCAGUGAACCUACUGAAAGCUGCUGAGAUAGAAGGUGG